UACGUAGGGUGCAAGCGUUAAUCGGAAUUACUGGGCGUAAAGCGUGCGCAGGCGGGUUUGUAAGUCUGUCGUGAAAUCCCCGGGCUUAACCUGGGAAUGGCGAUGGUGACUGCAAGGCUAGAGUUUGGCAGAGGGGGGUAGAAUUCCACGUGUAGCAGUGAAAUGCGUAGAGAUGUGGAGGAACACCGAUGGCGAAGGCAGCCCCCUGGGUCAAAACUGACGCUCAUGCACGAAAGCGUGGGGAGCAAACAGG
rnacentral:rRNA from 1 species